UAAUUAGCGAAGCUCUGCCUCGUUGUAGGUACCAUAACCCCUGGAUACGUAUUAGAUACUCCGCCCGAUUGAUCUAGGGUUCCGUAACGGCUGUCGUGGUUCUGCCCGACGUAGUCGUUGGAAUGCCGUCUCGGGGAGGAUUAUAACCAGGAAGCCACAAAGGAAAUACCUAAAAUAGCAAUGUAACACAAUGUGACAGCCAAUUAGUCAAAAGCCAGCUGGAGAGCACUGACGGCUUGGAAAAAUGUGGCUAUAAAAGUUACCUAAAAGACGAUGUUUUAAAUUCAAUA
rnacentral:lncRNA from 1 species